UGUAGUUACAUUAGCUGCUGCAUGCUUAGUUUUGUUUACUGUUUCCCACUAACUUCUAACCAUGCUUCUUCUACAAGACAGCUUAGGUAACCUGAACACAGCAUUUAGUAAGCUGGCAGAACUUGGAAGACUCCCUCUUGCAAUCAAUCUAAAAGGACUCUGUCAGAACUGGACGUACAGGGCUCUCCAGGAAACCACACCAGAACAUGUGCUGGCUUUAGAACAAGUGGCUUAUCUUAUUUUCCAGGUGCUUUGUUUAUCCAGAUGUACAAGGGCCUCCCUUUCCCAAGAUUCUUUCUGCAUCAUGGGGAGUAAUGAAGAGGACUUGUCAUUGCCUCCAGCUGCAAUUUAAAACUGUCUCUGCUCCCUGCAGAAAGCAGUGUAGAUGUUUUCCAAAGGUGUAUCCAUGGGAAAUUCAGAGAUCACAUCCACACUGUGCAGCUGAAUUUUGCUGGAGUUGGGAACAUGGUUGAACUGAUGGUAGAAAGAAGCCCUUGGAACCAUCAUGUUUAUCUAACAAGCACCCUAUGCACUCACUUUGACCUGUGCUCUCCUUCUGUGCAAUGCCUGGUUCACCUGGUGCUACAGACAGUGUUUCACAUGAGUGAUGCAGCACUCUUUCCUGCAGUGUGCAAUUUAAAGCAGAAAGCAUGGCAUUAUCUGGAGAAUUCCUGAUGACAGACUCACAUUUGCUGUCUUGCUUUCCAUUAUGAAAAACCACAAAGGAAAAGCUAUGUAGCAAACUGCUUUGGCUUGCCAUUUGUUCAAAAGAAUGCAGAUGCCUCUGCUGCACAGGCACCAUCUCUGCAAUUAAAAAAACCCCAAAAAUAUUCCUGCAGCAUACUAAGAAAUCCCCAUGAAGUCAAACAGGAGGUUCCCAGAACUUCAGAAGGCAGGCAUUACCUCUCCUCAAUUCUGACUCUGAAGAAAAGAGAAGUUUUGAUACCCUUCAGCAACAGAAUGUGAUCAACAAGGAUGCAACAAGCAACAGUUUAUUUGUAGAAAAAUCCUUUAAAAUUUACUACAAUGUAAGAUUAAGGAAAAAAUAGUCUUAAUAUAUAUACAUACAAUAUAUAUAAACAAACACUUAUCGCACCAUGAAAAUUACAUGCUUUUUAGAACAGAGAAUGAAUCAUAUUCCCUCAUAUCAAUUUUAAAGUUAUCACUGCAAGAAACCUUGCUUCCUUUUUUUUUUUUUAUCCCCAUCAAAGUUUUCAAGUACAGGAAGUAAGUAAUGCAGGAUCUAAUAGUAGAAAACCUUUGUUAUACACAAAUUACAACUGACAGCUAGACAAUAUUAUUUGUAGUAUCCAACACUUGUGUUUUUGAGCUCUAUUAUAAUGAUAUGAACUUUUACCUGAGGUGCAUGGAAAUAACGAAGCAUGAUAAUUGGCAAGUUUAAGAGAUUUUCACAUUAUGAUUUGACUUUAAUUGAAGUUGAUUAGGUAUCACAUCUAUACCUGUAGUACUGGCACAAGAAUGCUCUGCGCGAGUCAUCACCAAUGACUUAGAAGUGCAGGAAAAAUUAACAGGCAAGCACCACUUGCAAUGAAAAGCAUGCAGACAAUUUAAGUGAAACAGAGGUAGCAUGUUCUUGUAACUCCAGCAGGGUCAUUCAAAUCAACUGCACUCUCCCUUCUGCAAAAGGCACUCACUUUUUCAGCUAAAAACAAUGCGCUUAAGUUUGGUCAGACUGACCACAAAUGGUGGAUUUCUCCCCUUACAAAUAUAGAAAAAUGUUAAGCAGAGAACACAGUUAAAAGAAAAAAAAAAAAAAAUGUAAGGAACUUACACAUAUAAGGUACCAUGUGCUAUUCCUCUCCCCCUAACUUUUAUGGGAAGAAUUAUAGAAAACAGUU